rnacentral:lncRNA from 1 species
AUGUGUGUAUCCAGUUGAAGAAGAGACAAUUAUGAACGAAUGAACGUCAGUGGGCUGGAAAACAAAAACAGCACAGACAGAUAAAAGUUGCCACGGAGUGGGUCCAGUGGGUCCUCUUCAAUCCUGAUUUCAAACCUUCCUGAUUCAGUGGGAAUCAGGGGUUCCAGCAGAUGGGCAUAGAGUCGGCGGGAAUUGGGGUGACAAACAGACAAGACAACAGACACGACACAAGGGGGUGUGGAUCUGAAGGUAAUUUGUCAAAUCAAGCAUCAAACUUUUUAUACAGAAGAAAAUAGGGAAGUUAAGUGACAAUGAGGUUACUGGAUUCUUACAUAAAACAGAGGAAUGCAAACAUGGAAGGACUGGCAGGAACCAACUGGGAUAAAAUUCAAUGUUAACAACUGGGAUCAACAGCAGCCCCACCUAAAGUCAGC